AGUGAACGCUGGCGGUAGGCCUAACACAUGCAAGUCGAACGGCAGCACAGGAGAGCUUGCUCUCUGGGUGGCGAGUGGCGGACGGGUGAGGAAUACAUCGGAAUCUACUCUGUCGUGGGGGAUAACGUAGGGAAACUUACGCUAAUACCACAUACGACCUACGGGUGAAAGCAGGGGCGCUUCGGCCCUAGCGCGAGUGAAUGAGCCGAUGUCGGAUUAGCUAGUUGGGGGGGUAAAGGCCCACCAAGGCGACGAUCCGUAACUGGUCUGAGGGGAUGAUCAGCCACACUGGAACUGAGACACGGUCCAGACUCCUACGGGAGGCAGCAGUGGGGAAUAUUGGACAAUGGGCGCAAGCCUGAUCCAGCCAUACCGCGUGUGUGAAGAAGGCCUUCGGGUUGUAAAGCCCUUUUGUUGGGAAAGAAAUCCAGCUGGCUAAUACCCGGUUGGGAUGACGGUACCCAAAGAAUAAGCACCGGCUAACUUCGUGCCAGCCGCCGCCGUAA
rnacentral:rRNA from 1 species